UACGUAGGGUGCAAGCGUUAAUCGGAACUACUGGGCGUAAAGCGUGCGCAGGCGGUUUUGUAAGCCAGAUGUGAAAGCCCCGGGCUUAACCUGGGAAUGGCAUUUGGGACUGCAAGGCUUGAGUGCGGCAGAGGAGACUGGAAUUCCAGGUGUAGCAGUGAAAUGCGUAGAUAUCAGGAGGAAUACCGAUGGCGAAGGCAGGUCUCUGGGCUGACACUGACGCUCAUGCACGAAAGCGUGGGGAGCAAACAGG
rnacentral:rRNA from 1 species